GGUCCUACGGGGCGUAGCAGUGGGGAAUAUUGCACAAUGGGGGGAACCCUGAUGCAGCGACGCCGCGUGGGUGAAGGAGCACCUCGGUGCGUAAAGCCCUAUCGGCAGGGAAGAAGCAAGACGGUACCUGACCAAGAAGCCCCGGCUAACUACGUGCCAGCAGCCGCGGUAAUACGUAGGGGGCAAGCGUUAUCCGGAUUCACUGGGCGUAAAGGGAGCGCAGGCGGCACGGCAAGUCUGGUGUGAAAGCCCGGGGCCCAACCCCGGGACUGCAUUGGAAACUGCCGGGCUGGAGUGCCGGAGGG
rnacentral:rRNA from 1 species